rnacentral:rRNA from 1 species
AUUGAACGCUGGCGGCAGGCUUAACACAUGCAAGUCGAGCGGGGUGAUGGUGCUUGCACUAUCACUUAGCGGCGGACGGGUGAGUAAUGCUUAGGAAUCUGCCUAUUAGUGGGGGACAACAUCUCGAAAGGGAUGCUAAUACCGCAUACGUCCUACGGGAGAAAGCAGGGGAUCUCUUGUGACCUUGCGCUAAUAGAUGAGCCUAAGUCGGAUUAGCUAGUUGGUGGGGUAAAGGCCUACCAAGGCGACGAUCUGUAGCGGGUCUGAGAGGAUGAUCCGCAACACUGGGACUGAGACACGGCCCAGACUCCUACGGGAGGCAGCAGUGGGGAAUAUUGGACAAUGGGGGGAACCCUGAUCCAGCCAUGCCGCGUGUGUGAAGAAGGCCUUAUGGUUGUAAAGCACUUUAAGCGAGGAGGAGGCUCUUUUGGUUAAUACCCAAGACGAGUGGACGUUACUCGCAGAAUAAGCACCGGCUAACUCUGUGCCAGCCGCCGCCGUAA